GUGCUCGCUUCGGCAGCACAUAUACUAAAAUUGGAACGAUACAGAGAAGAUUAGCAUGACAACAUACAUAUGGGGCCAGAUGCAGGAGAAUCUUAUAACACUUUC